rnacentral:lncRNA from 1 species
UGUGUGUGUGUGUGAUAACCCUGUAGGAGUGAGAAGUGGGCUGGAGCAAAGAGAAACAGUAUAGCGGACAACUGGGAAGGAGGCAGGGUUUGCUUAGUGUGGGGAGUCAUAGGUGCUGAUGCCUCCAAAGUGUCCAAAGCUAAAAACUUACAGUGCAGAGUGGGAGGCACACAGAGCAUAGGAAGACACAGAGGGACUAGUCAGCCCACUUCACAGGGAGUAAAGGGUGGCCAGGGCUUGAGCUUCGAGGUGUUUUUCUUGGCUCAGGUGAUGCUGUAUGAAGACAGCUUGGGUAUGUGAUGAAAAAUGAGAAAGGAUUGGUACAGCAAUCACUCUAUGAGUGUUGACAUAGAAAGGUGAAGUUGAGAAAGAAGCCAUGGAACAGGCUGUCUUCUUGGGCUCACCUUAAAUCCCACAAGGAUUCUGGGAUACAAAGGAAAACAUGCUAUUGUUUUGGAAAAUAUGGAGAUAAAACAGAGAGACCAUCCAACUUAAUUCCUUUGAAAUGAACAUAAAUAAUUUCCAUUGCUGUUAUUCCAAAGGAAUGCCUUUUGACCUCCUGGUGGGCUCAAACAAUCUGUAGGAAGAAUCUUAACACGCUGAACCAAGUGUACACGUGUGCUAUUUAU